GAGGGUGUAGCUCAGUGGUAGAGUGCAUGCUUAGCAUGCACAAGGCCCUGGAUUCAAUCCCCAGUGCCUCCA
rnacentral:tRNA from 1 species